CAGGGUCCUCUGCUGCCUCCCGGUCCACAAAACCGGGAAGUAGUUUGAAACCCACACCUCUGUCAUUUGUACUGGCAUUUGGCUGCGGCCCCCCUCGCGAGAGGGGAGCUCGCGGCCUGGUCCAGCUAAACUUCGGCGGAUGUGUUGCCUGAUUUCGCGUGUCGGCCUGGCCCGGCACGGCUUAAGACGGUGACCGCCGCCGGCCUACCUUUGAAAUCCUCUUGCGAGAAUUCUGAAGUCUGAGACAAAAGUCCUGGGUGAAUUCAGGGCGUUAAUGAAGCGAA
rnacentral:misc_RNA from 1 species